rnacentral:rRNA from 1 species
GAACGCUGGCGGCGUGCCUAAUACAUGCAAGUCGUACGCUUCUUUUUCCACCGGAGCUUGCUCCAUCGGAAAAAGAAGAGUGGCGAACGGGUGAGUAACACGUGGGUAACCUGCCCAUCAGAAGGGGAUAACACUUGGAAACAGGUGCUAAUACCGUAUAACAAUCGAAACUGCAUGGUUUUGAUUUGAAAGACGCUUUCGGGUGUCGCUGAUGGAUGGACCCGCGGUGCAUUAGCUAGUUGGUGAGGUAACGGCUCACCAAGGCCACGAUGCAUAGCCGACCUGAGAGGGUGAUCGGCCACAUUGGGACUGAGACACGGCCCAAACUCCUACGGGAGGCAGCAGUAGGGAAUCUUCGGCAAUGGACGAAAGUCUGACCGAGCAACGCCGCGUGAGUGAAGAAGGUUUUCGGAUCGUAAAACUCUGUUGUUAGAGAAGAACAAGGAUGAGAGUAACUGUUCAUCCCUUGACGGUAUCUAACCAGAAAGCCACGGCUAACUACGUGCCAGCAGCCGCGGUAAUACGUAGGUGGCAAGCGUUGUCCGGAUUUAUUGGGCGUAAAGCGAGCGCAGGCGGUUUCUUAAGUCUGAUGUGAAAGCCCCCGGCUCAACCGGGGAGGGUCAUUGGGAAACUGGGAGACUUGAGUGCAGAAGAGGAGAGUGGAAUUCCAUGUGUAGCGGUGAAAUGCGUAGAUAUAUGGAGGAACACCAGUGGCGAAGGCGGCUCUCUGGUCUGUAACUGACGCUGAGGCUCGAAAGCGUGGGGAGCAAACAGGAUUAGAUACCCUGGUAGUCCACGCCGUAAACGAUGAGUGCUAAGUGUUGGAGGGUUUCCGCCCUUCAGUGCUGCAGCAAACGCAUUAAGCACUCCGCCUGGGGAGUACGACCGCAAGGUUGAAACUCAAAGGAAUUGACGGGGGCCCGCACAAGCGGUGGAGCAUGUGGUUUAAUUCGAAGCAACGCGAAGAACCUUACCAGGUCUUGACAUCCUUUGACCACUCUAGAGAUAGAGCUUUCCCUUCGGGGACAAAGUGACAGGUGGUGCAUGGUUGUCGUCAGCUCGUGUCGUGAGAUGUUGGGUUAAGUCCCGCAACGAGCGCAACCCUUAUUGUUAGUUGCCAUCAUUUAGUUGGGCACUCUAGCGAGACUGCCGGUGACAAACCGGAGGAAGGUGGGGAUGACGUCAAAUCAUCAUGCCCCUUAUGACCUGGGCUACACACGUGCUACAAUGGGAAGUACAACGAGUCGCUAGACCGCGAGGUCAUGCAAAUCUCUUAAAGCUUCUCUCAGUUCGGAUUGCAGGCUGCAACUCGCCUGCAUGAAGCCGGAAUCGCUAGUAAUCGCGGAUCAGCACGCCGCGGUGAAUACGUUCCCGGGCCUUGUACACACCGCCCGUCACACCUCGAGAGUUUGUAACACCCGAAGUCGGUGAGGUAACCUUUUUGGAGCCAGCCGCCUAAGGUGGGAUAGAUGAUGGG